rnacentral:lncRNA from 1 species
UGCCUCUGGGUCAGGCUGAGUCUUGGGCUGCAGCAAGAAGAUUCUUAAAGCCCACACUUUCUCUCCUUUGGCACAAGGCAGUUGGACAGCUCUGAGAUGAAUGGGGCUGCACAGCUGUCGGGGGUGACACAGUUUUCCCUGGAUGUGGCCGUAGCAGAGGAGCUCAGGUCAAGCAGGUGGUGGCCCCUAGUCCAGCUCCUGGGGUGGCUUGGACCAACCCCGAGCCCUGGGUUCUAGUCCCGGCUGCCCUGUGAACUUGUGAUGGACGCAUCAGACAAGCUCUAAGCCUGAGUUCCUUCAUCUGUGAAAAGGAGAAGUACAAACGCUGCCCUGUCCGCUCGCGGGGCUAACAUAGGCAACAAAUGAGAAAAUGGACGUGACAGAACUUGCUUCAAAUACUCACUGCUCAAAGAAGAAUCAUGCUGAUUCUGGACUUCACGCAUGAAGCCUAGGUUUUCAUCCCAAAACGCUAUGUUGGAACAAAGGUGACUCCUUAUGAGGAGACCUGAAGGGUGACUCAAUGUGCUGGCACAGUGGGGUGGAGACCGCAGUGGGCUCUGGCAAGAGUUCUGGGUCCUGGUCCACUCUCUGCUGCUGACCUUGGAUGAUUUCUUUCCACUGUGUGACCCACUCUAUAAGGUGCUGCCCAAUGUACCACCUCGCUAAGAUUUUUUUUCCCAUUCUAAAUUGUCAUGCAAAUCAUCUUCUAGUGCUCUCCACAGCUAGGAUGACUCUACCUACCUCCCUUGUCACUGGAGGAAAGGCCUUGUCAAGGAUGGAGCUCCACAGCCCCCUCUGAGAAGUGGCCCAGUGUUUCAUUGGUUCGAAUCCUGAGCGCGGACAUGGCACUGCUCAUCUAACCACGCUGAGGCAGCAUCCCACAUGCCACAACUAGAAGGACCCACAACGAAGAAUAUACAACUAUGUACUGGGGGGCUUUGGGGAGAAAAAGGAAAAAAAUAAAAUCUUAAAAAAAAAAGAGAGAGAAAUAGAAAAAGAAACAUUUGACCUGGCAAACAAAGCAUCUACAGAACAUCAAUAUCCUUGCAGAGAUUAGAACAAGACCACGUGCUCUGCGGAAUGAACCCCCAACUCCUGAAACACCGAAGGCUCCACCUAGACACACACACAGGUACCAACCGACCCUUAGAACUAGACGGACCAGUUCCUAAUGGGUUUGUUAACAGCUAUCUGGAUAAUUUCUCUUUGGAGAAGACUUGGGGUGCACAAGAUACCAAAACUACCCAUGAAACAUUUCAAGGUCAGCCAGGAAGCUGCCAGUCUUGUCCACCUGACUCCAUUGAUUGAUGCGCAUUGAAUAGCUGCAUCCAAGUCUUUGCUGAGGUGACUGAUUUUUCUUCAACUUGGCUGCACUAAUAAUUGGCUGUUUGGGAUCUAUAUGGCUAGAAUUCUUAAGCUGCAAGAAAUAGACGUAAGCCAAGCUUAGGCAGGAAAGGGGAAUUCAUU